rnacentral:rRNA from 1 species
GCCUACGGGAGGCAGCAGUGGGGAAUAUUGCACAAUGGGGGAAACCCUGAUGCAGCAACGCCGCGUGAAGGAAGACGGUUUUCGGAUUGUAAACUUCUUUUCUUAGUGAAGAAGCAAGUGACGGUAGCUAAGGAAUAAGCAUCGGCUAACUACGUGUCAGCAGCCGCGGUAAUACGUAGGUGGCAAGCGUUGUCCGGAUUUACUGGGUGUAAAGGGCGUGCAGCCGGGAAGACAAGUCAGAUGUGAAAUCCCGCGGCUCAACCGCGGAACUGCAUUUGAAACUGUUUUUCUUGAGUACCGGAGAG